rnacentral:rRNA from 1 species
UACGAAGGGGGCUAGCGUUGUUCGGAAUCACUGGGCGUAAAGGGCGCGUAGGCGGCCUUGUAAGUCGGGGGUGAAAGCCUGUGGCUCAACCACAGAAUUGCCUUCGAUACUGCAGGGCUUGAGACCGGAAGAGGUAAGUGGAACUGCGAGUGUAGAGGUGAAAUUCGUAGAUAUUCGGAAGAACACCAGUGGCGAAGGCGGCUCACUGGACCGGCAUUGACGCUGAGGUGCGAAAGCGUGGGGAGCAAGCAGG